UUGGAGGGCAAGUCUGGUGCCAGCAGCCGCGGUAAUUCCAGCUCCAAUAGCGUAUAUUAAAGUUGUUGCAGUUAAAAAGCUCGUAGUUGAAUUUCGGGGUCAGUAGGUUGGUCAUGCCACUGGUAUGUACUGGCCUCACUGAUUCCUCCUUCCUGAUGAGCCGUAAUGCCAUUAAUUUGGUGUUGCGAGGAAUCUGGACUGUUACUUUGAAAAAAUUAGAGUGUUUAAAGCAGGCUAACGCUUGAAUACAUUAGCAUGGAAUAAUGAAAUAGGACGUUCGAUCUUAUUUUGUUGGUUUCUAAGAUUGACGUAAUGAUUAAUAGGGAUAGUUGGGGGCAUUAGUAUUCAAUUGUCAGAGGUGAAAUUCUUGGAUUUAUUGAAGACUAACUACUGCGAAAGCAUUUGCCAAGGAUGUUUUCAUUAAUCAAGAACGAAAGUUAGGGGAUCGAAGACGAUCAGAUACCGUCGUAGUCUUAACCAUAAACUAUGCCGACUAGGGAUCGGAUGAUGUUAAUUUUUUAAUGACUCAUUCGGCGCCUUACGGGAAACCAAAGUGUUUGGGUUC
rnacentral:rRNA from 1 species